AGAAUGAACGCUGGCGGCGUGCUUUACACAUGCAAGUCGAGCGAGGCGUGUAGCAAUACACAGUCGAGCGGCGAACGGGUGAGUAACGCGUGGAUGACCUGCCCUUCAGCGGGGGAAUAACCCGGGGAAACUCGGGCUAAUACCGCAUACGACCGAGAGGUGAAAGGGGGCCGCAAGGCUCCCGCUGAAGGAGGGGUCCGCGUUCGAUUAGCUAGUUGGUAGGGUAAUGGCCUACCAAGGCGACGAUCGAUAGCCGGCCUGAGAGGGUGAUCGGCCACACCUGGAACUGAGACACGGUCCAGACUCCUACGGGAGGCAGCAGUGGGAAUUUGCGCAAUGGGCUAACGCCUGACGCAGCAACGCCGCGUGGAGGAUGAAGGUCUUUGGAUUGUAAACUCCUGUCAGCAAGGAAAAGCAACUCGACCUCAUACGUCGGAAGUGAUUGUACUGCAGAGACGCCCGGCAACUCUGUGCAGCACGCCGC
rnacentral:rRNA from 1 species